GAAUUCACUAGUGAUUCAGGCCUAACACAUGCAAGUCGAGCGGGGUUUUCGGACCUAGCGGAGGACGGGUGAGUAAUGCGUAGGAAGCUACCCGACAGAGGGGGAUACCAGUUGGAAACGACUGUUAAUACCGCAUAAUGUCUACGGACCAAAGUGUGGGACCUUCGGGCCACAUGCUGUCGGAUGCGCCUACGUGGGAUUAGCUAGUUGGUGGGGUAAUGGCUCACCUAAGGCGACGAUCCCUAGCUGGUUUGAGAGGAUGAUCAGCCACACUGGAACUGAGACACGGUCCAGACUCCUACGGGAGGCAGCAGUGGGGAAUAUUGGACAAUGGGCGAAAGCCUGAUCCAGCCAAGGCGCGUGUGUGAAGAAGGCCUUCGGGUUGUAAAGCAUAAUGAGCGAGGAGGAAGGGUUGUGUGUUAAUAGCACACAGCCUUGACGUACUCGCAG
rnacentral:rRNA from 1 species